rnacentral:rRNA from 1 species
UCGUAGGAAAUCUACCUUAUAGAGGGGGAUAACCUGGGGAAACUCGGGCUAAUACCGCAUAAUCUCUUUGGAGCAAAGCGGGGGAUCUUCGGACCUCGUGCUAUAAGAUGAGCCUACGUCGGAUUAGCUUGUUGGUGGGGUAAUGGCCUACCAAGGCGACGAUCCGUAGCUGGUCUGAGAGGACGAUCAGCCACACUGGGACUGAGACACGGCCCAGACUCCUACGGGAGGCAGCAGUGGGGAAUAUUGGACAAUGGGGGAAACCCUGAUCCAGCAAUGCCGCGUGUGUGAAGAAGGCCUUCGGGUUGUAAAGCACUUUCGGUGGGGAAGAAAUUCUCAAGGGUAAUAUCCUUGGGCGUUGACGUUACCCACAGAAGAAGCACCUGUGCCAGCAGCCGCGGUAAUACAGAGAGUGCAAGCGUUAAUCGGAAUCACUGGGCGUAAAGCGCGCGUAGGUGGAUAUUUAAGUCGGAUGUGAAAGCCCUGGGCUUAACCUGGGAAUUGCACCCGAUACUGGGUAUCUUGAGUAUGGUAGAGGGAAGUGGAAUUUCCGGUGUAGCGGUGAAAUGCGUAGAUAUCGGAAAGAACACCAGUGGCGAAGGCGACUUCCUGGACCAAUACUGACACUGAGGCGCGAAAGCGUGGGGAGCAAACAGGAUUAGAGACCCUGGUAGUCCACGCCGUCAACGAUGAGAACUAGCUG